ACUCCUACGGGAGGCAGCAGUGGGGAAUAUUGGACAAUGGGCGCAAGCCUGAUCCAGCCAUGCCGCGUGAGUGAUGAAGGCCCUAGGGUUGUAAAGCUCUUUCACCGGUGAAGAUAAUGACGGUAACCGGAGAAGAAGCCCCGGCUAACUUCGUGCCAGCAGCCGCGGUAAUACGAAGGGGGCUAGCGUUGUUCGGAUUUACUGGGCGUAAAGCGCACGUAGGCGGACUAUUAAGUCAGGGGUGAAAUCCCGGGGCUCAACCCCGGAACUGCCUUUGAUACUGGUAGUCUUGAGUUCGAGAGAGGUGAGUGGAAUUCCGAGUGUAGAGGUGAAAUUCGUAGAUAUUCGGAGGAACACCAGUGGCGAAGGCGGCUCACUGGCUCGAUACUGACGCUGAGGUGCGAAAGCGUGGGGAGCAAACAGGAUUAGAAACCCGAGUAGUCCCAUGAU
rnacentral:rRNA from 1 species